UUUUAUGGAGAGUUUGAUCCUGGCUCAGGAUGAACGCUGGCGGCGUGCCUAAUACAUGCAAGUCGAGCGAACGGACGAGAAGCUUGCUUCUCUGAUGUUAGCGGCGGACGGGUGAGUAACACGUGGAUAACCUACCUAUAAGACUGGGAUAACUUCGGGAAACCGGAGCUAAUACCGGAUAAUAUUUUGAACCGCAUGGUUCAAAAGUAAAAGAC
rnacentral:rRNA from 1 species